UGAGAGUUUUUUUUUCCGGGUUUCACGCGUUGUUGAGGUAGAAAAGGGUUUCACGCACUGUUUUGUGUUCGGAUAGAGGGUUUCACAUCGAGGGCUGCCCUGACAGACGCUUCAGUUUGGAUAAGUUUUCAAGCAUAGGUGUUAAGGGGCUCAAUUGGAAGGUCUCACACUGAGGGUUGCAUGGGAGGUUGUAGGGCUAGAGGUUUCAAAAUUCGAUUCUUAGCGUGGCCGUUGUGUAGCGAUCGGAGGGAUCCAUUGAGAGGUGUGGUCUCAACGGCUCUCUCCUGCCUCGCCAGCCCGAUCAACGACAUGAAGAGCCCCGGGGAGGUCGCCGACGCCGACUAGGAGGCCAGCCCAGCUGAGGAGACACCGCCAAGCUGGACAGGAUGGCGGCCUUCACCGGGUCCGGCCCGUCCAGGCAGCGCUCGCUCAAGGACCGGCUGCGCGAGGGCAUCGCGGGGACGCUGUCUUGGCAGAAAACGGCCUGGAAAUGUUCUUGACCUGAGCAAAGAAGUCAAUGGAGUCAUUUUACCUGAAAGUAUAGGAAGAUCGGCCUGCCUGGAGGUGUUUCUGUCCUGGACAUCAGUCGUGCAGCCCAUGGAAUCAUCAGAUAUAAGUUGAGUUGGGGUCACAGUGAUAACCGUUGGUCCAGUUAUUUUUUUACCCCCCUGUAAAUUCACCACCCACAUUGUGGAAGGGUCUAGCGGAGCCGUUCCGCUCAACGCUGUGGAGUCAGCGGACCCCUUGCAUGGGGACAAUACGUGCAACGCGUGACCUCACUGCGUCAAUGAGGGGGCUGGACGUGUCGCCCUAAGCCGUCCGAAAAAACCUCCCCUCCCCCUGCCCUCCUCUCGGCUGCGGCUGCUGUGGAGGUAGUAGUGGGCUGCCGCCGCUGCUGCGGGGGCUGUGGGGGUAGUAGUAGUGGUAAUCCUACUGCUGCCACUGCGGCCGCUGCAUCAGAGACGUCUGUGACGUCACUGCGGUAGUGGUGGCUGUCUGCUACUACAUCCACAGUUACUACAGCUUCUAGCUAACUAGGUGUAGGAAAUCAAGUAAAA